UUUUAGGGAUAUAUGAUUUAUUAAAUGAUGUCUAAUUAUGUGCUUAUGUGUAUUUGUGUGUUUAUGAAUUUUAAAUUGAUUUUUGACAUGUUAAGUGUGUUUUUAUGUCUUGUGUAAUUAUUGUAGUUUGAGAUUAAAUUAGAUAGUAGUAUAAUUUAGGAGUUAGUUAUGGGAGAAAAUAAAUAAUUAGAGGUUUUGGACUUAUUUAUGAGAGAAAGAGGUAGAGAGAGAAGUUAAAAAGAAGGGUUUUGGUGAAAGUUGAAGAGAAAGAAGAGAUGAGGAAUGCAAUCUCGUUUUCAACACAGCAGCCUCACAAAAACUUCGAUUCCCGAUUCGUUAACCGUUGGAUUUCCUUGAAAUUUUGAGGGUAGGUUCACAACAUCCGAGACCAACUUUUGACCGUUCGGAUCGUUGAAACAAGGUCUGAGGAGGAAGAAAUCGAGUUCGGAUUGCACCAGAUGUGUUGGGGAGAAAAAGAGGGAAAAAGGCAAGAACAAGGUGGAGCUUCAAGAACCAUUGCCAUCCUCCAUUUUCUUUACAAUCAAAGGGCGUUACAGUCACACUUCUGGACUAUGGGUCGUGGAGUGGAUGUCUAUGGAGCAUGCAUUCUUUGUAAAUGCACCACAAAUGCUUGAUGAAAAUGUGGUUCGCAUGAAAGUGGCUCUACGUCUGUUAAUGGGUCCCCAUAAUGACUACUUCAAGAGUGUAUCGUCAAAUGCACUCUCUUAUUGGUCGAAAUUGAUCAACAAAGGGCCUGAAAAUGCCAAACUUGAAGGAACUGAAUCUUGAAUCUUUAUGGGAUAUGACGUGUGUCUCACGUUAAGUGCAAUAGAGACUCCUACUACCUUAUUUUCUUGAGUCUUUUUUUGAAUAGUAUCACUCUUUUUAACUAAUGAUCUAGAACUAAUGAUCCAAGAUCACAUGUCUUUUUUGGUUAUAUCACUGAUGGCCCCAGUCAAUAUUAUGUUUUGUAAUUGAAGACCAUAGGUUUGGGGUUCCAAGCAAGGGCCUUUUGUUUAUGUGUUGCCCCUUGUUUCUAUUACUACUAUUUAUAAUCUAUCUUGUGUAUGAACUAGAAAUGGAAAUGGUGUAGUGACUCCAAAUCUAUUGGUACUUAGACCAACUUGGUACUUAUUAUGUAAUUAUGUAAUGAUGAUUAUGCACAAAUUUAUGUUUACCCAUUUAGAUUUGUCUUAUUUUAUAAAACUUUCAUUAUCUC